CCCGCUGAACUUAAGCAUAUCAAUAAGCGGAGGAAAAGAAACUAACAAGGAUUCCCCUAGUAACGGCGAGUGAAGCGGGAUGAGCUCAAAUUUGAAAUCUGGCUGGUUUACCGGUCCGAGUUGUAAUUUAAAGAAGCGUUUUCGGUGACAGGCCGGGUAUAAAUCCUUUGGAACAGGGUAUCAUAGAGGGUGAGAAUCCCGUCUUUGACUCGGCUGUUGUUACUAUGUGAUACGUUUUCAAAGAGUCGAGUUGUUUGGGGAUGCAGCUCAAAAAUGGUGGUAAAUUUCAUCUAAGGCUAAAUAUUGGCGAGAGACCGAUAGCGAACAAGUACCGUGAGGGAAAGAUGAAAAGAACUUUGAAAAGAGAGUUAAACAGUGCGUGAAAUUGUGAAAGGGAAACGUUUGACACCAGCUAUGUAGGCGGAAAAUCAGUCAAGGGCAGUGAGGGGCUGGUAUUUGUCCGGACCGUAAGGCCGGCUUGUGCCUCAUCUUUGCUGUCAGUGAUGCACUUUUCCGUUCGCAGGUCAACAUCAGUUUUGCUUGCUGGACAAAACCCCGAGAGAAGGUAGCAGCUUUGGCUGUGUUAUAGCUCUGGGGCGAUACAGUGGGUGGGACUGAGGAUUCGCAGUGUGGCCCUCGGGCAGGCUGACUGGGCGCUAUGGGAUUGUUGGGCGUACAAUGCUUGCAUUUUGCGCCUUGUCUUUUUCAUACUCGCUUAGCUCGGCUCUUCCACGCUUAGGAUGUUGACUUAAUGGUUUUAAACGACCCGUCUUGAAACACGG
rnacentral:rRNA from 1 species